CCUACGGGAGGCAGCAGUCGGGAAUUUUGCUCAAUGGGCGAAAGCCUGAAGCAGCAACGCCGCGUGAGGGAUGACGGCCUUCGGGUUGUAAACCUCUUUUCUCAGGGACGAUGAUGACGGUACCUGAGGAAUAAGCCACGGCUAACUACGUGCCAGCAGCCGCGGUAAUACGUAGGUGGCGAGCGUUGUCCGGAUUUACUGGGCGUAAAGAGCGCGCAGGCGGUCGUGCAAGUCGGAUGUGAAAGCCCCCGGCUCAACUGGGGAGGGUCAUUCGAUACUGCUCGACUCGAAGGCGGGAGAGGGAAGCGGAAUUCCCGGUGUAGUGGUGAAAUGCGUAGAUAUCGGGAGGAACACCAGUGGCGAAGGCGGCUUCCUGGCCCGUUCUUGACGCUGAGGCGCGAAAGCUAGGGGAGCGAACGGGAUUAGAUACCCCGGUAGUCCUAGCCGUAAACGAUGGACACUAGGUGUUGGUGGUAUCAACCCCGCCAGUGCCGAAGCUAACGCAUUAAGUGUCCCGCCUGGGGAGUACGGCCGCAAGGCUAAAACUCAAAGGAAUUGACGG
rnacentral:rRNA from 1 species